CGCGGUCUCACUUUACUAAUCUAUCGGUCAUCACUAAGGGCAAAAACGUAAACAAAGCAAAAAUCUACAAUUAUUGUCGGGAAAAUGGAUUACAUUUGGUGGCUAUCGAUGUCCUAGCCAAGCGCUCCCACCCAACCAUGGAUGCCCUCAAGAUGCUGCAGGGCACCACCCAUUCGCAGUCGGCAGGAGCCCCUUCCUCGCGACUGCGGCUACGGUUCCAUCUCCCCCACUGGGAAAGCUUAUUCACACAUAGUGGGUAUUACAAAGGUUUAAUAAAUAUGCCUCCAAGACCGAAACCUGGGCGCCGUCUCGGAUAUUUACGCGGUCAAAGAGGAUUUGUUUUGCUGGGAAAGGGUACAGGCGCCGCGGGAACUAUGCUCCACCAGCCAUGUAUUGGUAGAGCUCGCAUGGAAACGCGGGCCUCAAGGGAACAUGCGCGAUGCGCGUGUGUAUGGUCACCUAAUCCUGAGGAGCUCCAAGGGAAAAGAAGGGACAGGCCAAAAAGGCAAACAACGAGGACAAAUAAGGCUCUCGGGUCUAACUCCGGAUAAACUCACAAACAGCCACAGUUGGGCCGGCCUGGAGGCGAUGAUUGCCCGGGCUGAUGACUUCCCGUCGGAGGCCAGCAGCGAUACGGAUCUCCACACGGGAAAACGGCGCUCUCCGGUGAGUGGUGCACGGGCAGUCCGAGAUUCGGCUGCCAGACAAAAUGGCGAUACUUCUCAGCGCCGCAAUGCGACCGCUGGAAGUUCCCGAGAGGAGGAGGAGGACGCGGUAUGCCGGAACGGACUCACCGGGAAGUGUUGACGUCGUCGGCGUCGAUUGUAGAAGGCUUUCCUGGUUGGUCGCUGGCACGGGUCGAGGAGGAGGACGCGGUACGCCGGAACGGACUCACCGGGAAGUGUUGACGUCGUCGGCGUCGAUUGUAGAAGGCUUUCCUGGUUGGUCGCUGGCACGGGUCGAACGGACACCGGUUGCUGGUCAGCCAAGUCGGGCUGGUAGGUAUGUCGAAGUAUGGCGAUGUCAGUAGAGUCCAAAUAAAUUCUUCCGGGGCCCUUUGUAUUGGGACCCCGGCUGCUAUUUAAUUUAA